rnacentral:rRNA from 1 species
CAGCAGUCGCCGCGGUAAUACGAAGGGUGCAAGCGUUACUCGGAAUUACUGGGCGUAAAGCGUGCGUAGGUGGUGGUUUAAGUCCGUUGUGAAAGCCCUGGGCUCAACCUGGGAAUUGCAGUGGAUACUGGGUCACUAGAGUGUGGUAGAGGAUAGUGGAAUUUCCGGUGUAGCAGUGAAAUGCGUAGAGAUCGGAAGGAACAUCUGUGGCGAAGGCGACUAUCUGGGCCAACACUGACACUGAGGCACGAAAGCGUGGGGAGCAAACAGGAUUAGAUACCCGCGUAGUCCCUGUCUCUUAUAC